UUGGCUGUCCCUCCGCAUCCAUAAUGUAAUUAAAACAAGGGGGGAAAAAUUAUCAUGGAGGCAGAGGUUAAUGCAAGUGUUUAGCAGAUGCCUCACUGUAAAAUCUGCAUUAAAAAAAAAAAAAAAACCUAACAAACAAAAAUACAAAAAUCUCAUUAAAACUUAAAUAUCGGAUAAUCUCAAACCAGCUUGCUGCCUGCGCCUACGCACCUCGACCAGUAUUCACUCGACUCAGUUAUGCUCCUGAAAUCAGUUUCAUGCUUGUUUAACUGGUCUGAUCGCUGAAAAGAAGAAGAAGAAAAAAAAGUCUUUUCAGGAAACUAACAGAAGGAGCCUGGAAAUUGAGAACUUAGUGUCUUGUACCUCCUCAGAGCUGCAGAAAAAUGGAUCCGUGGCCAAAAUGUUGGAUGUAAAUGAGACAACAAAAAUAAAUAUUUUACAUCAC
rnacentral:lncRNA from 1 species